rfam:Hordeum vulgare subsp. vulgare, WGS project CAJW01000000 data, contig: morex_contig_82267
UAGUGCCAUUUGGUAUCUCAUACAUGGUCAUUUUUUGUGAUUCUGUGUCUCAAAACAUGGCAGAAACUCAGGGCAAAUAGAACUUUGUGACACUGGCUGCUCUUAAUGAGCCUCCAGUUACUAUAUACCCGUUUAUAUUA